UACGUAGGGUGCGAGCGUUGUCCGGAAUUAUUGGGCGUAAAGGGCUCGUAGGCGGUUUGUCGCGUCGGGAGUGAAAACCCAGGGCUUAACUCUGGGCUUGCUUUCGAUACGGGCAGACUAGAGGUAUGCAGGGGAGAACGGAAUUCCUGGUGUAGCGGUGGAAUGCGCAGAUAUCAGGAGGAACACCGGUGGCGAAGGCGGGUCUCUGGGCAGUAACUGACGCUGAGGAGCGAAAGCGUGGGGAGCGAACAGG
rnacentral:rRNA from 1 species